rnacentral:rRNA from 1 species
GACGAACGCUGGCGGCGUGCUUAACACAUGCAAGUCGAACGGAAAGGCCCUGCUUUUGUGGGGUGCUCGAGUGGCGAACGGGUGAGUAACACGUGAGUAACCUGCCCUUGACUUUGGGAUAACUUCAGGAAACUGGGGCUAAUAACGGAUAGGAGCUCCUGCUGCAUGGUGGGGGUUGGAAAGUUUCGGCGGUUGGGGAUGGACUCGCGGCUUAUCAGCUUGUUGGUGGGGUAGUGGCUUACCAAGGCUUUGACGGGUAGCCGGCCUGAGAGGGUGACCGGCCACAUUGGGCCUGAGAUACGGCCCAGACUCCUACGGGAGGCAGCAGUGGGGAAUAUUGCACAAUGGGCGGAAGCCUGAUGCAGCAACGCCGCGUGCGGGAUGACGGCCUUCGGGUUGUAAACCGCUUUCGCCUGUGACGAAGCGUGAGUGACGGUAAUGGGUAAAGAAGCACCGGCUAACUACGUG